GACGUAGGGGACAAGCGUUGUCCGGAAUCAUUGGGCGUAAAGCGCUCGUAGGUGGAUCGGUAAGUCUGCAAAGAAAGACCCGGGCUCAACUCGGGGAACGGUGUGGAUACUACCGAUCUUGAGGCAAUCAGAGGAUGAUGGAAUUCCCGGUGUAGCGGUGAAAUGCGCAGAUAUCAGGAGGAACACCGAUGGCGAAGGCAGGUCUCUGGGCAUUAACUGACGCUGAGGAGCGAAAGCAUGGGGAGCGAACAGG
rnacentral:rRNA from 1 species